rnacentral:rRNA from 3 species
CAGCACUAAGUGGGUGGUAAACUCCAUCUAAAACUAAAUAUAACCAUGAGACCGAUAGCAAACAAGUACCGUGAGGGAAAGUUGAAAAGAACUCUGAAUAGAGAGUUAAAUAGUACGUGAAACUGCUUAGAGGUUAAGCCCGAUGAACCUGAAUAUCCGUUGUAGAAAAUUCAUCAUCAAUUGUAUGAUAUUUUUUUAAUAUUGUAUCAAUGGUGUGCACUUUUUCUACUUAAGGACAUUGUAAUCCGUUAAUGUUUGAAUGCGUAUUAUAAGAACAUUUACAAUAGUUUUUACAUUAUUUAACUUGUUAAAUAUGUUUAAAUGUGGAUGCUUCGAAUAUGCCAUUGACGGAUUUUUACGUAUAUUGCACUUAAAUCUUCUGAUUUUAUAAUAAUAUGAUUAUCAUUGAUUUUUGUAUUUAUUAUAUGUGCAUAUAUGAUUGACAAUGCGAAAGAUUCAGGAUACCUUCGGGACCC